rnacentral:lncRNA from 1 species
GGUACUUAUUCUUUGGAUAUAUGAUGAAGAGGUUAGCUGUAAGAAGCUUAUAUAGAUAUUUCUUAUGUAUGAAUACCAAUUUUCUAUGGUUGAGUAUGAAAAAUUUAUUUAUUUUACUAUCUUUGUCAUCAUCUUUAGAAUUAAAGAGUUGCAUAACUCUCAAAAAAGAGAUUAUCAAGAUAUAUUUAGAAGAGACAAA